rnacentral:misc_RNA from 1 species
UCUGGUCACAAUAAUUAAGAUUUAGCGCUUGCAGAUUUUUGCAAUCUUUGAGAUUAGUCAAUCCAGGAUCUGUGACAUCAGAACCCGACAAAUCUAGGGAAAGUAGAGAUGAACCCUGUGAAGAGAUGACAUCCAUCCAAUUGUCGUCCAGACCAGGAUAUUCUCCCAUAUUCAGAUCCUGAAAUGCAAAAAUCACUUCAUCAAGAGGUUGACUGACCCCAAAGUCACAUAAAAGAAUCAGAUGCCUCAACACCCCUUAUAUAGCUGUUACUCUAUUUUAGACAAAACAAGCGUGAAGACACCUGAAGAGCACAAUCUCUAAAUGCCUCAAGAGAGACAUCUGUAAGACGCUGCGAGCAAACCAAUUCAUCAAAGAUCUGCUGACUUAUAUCCCUAGGCAAUACAGAGAAGGUACUGUAUUUAUCGAUGUCCUCACACACUCUAUGAAUACACAAUUCCAUGAGAGAUGGGCAUUUUCCUUUUCCCUGUUUGGCAUCUGCUCCUCGGGAAAAUGAACUUCCCAACCAUUUUGAGCUUGCACUUUUGGAGUACCGUCCAGAAACUCCUCUGUGUAGGCUAUCCUCACUGACCUGCUGGUCACGCUUCCUAGAACAUGCUCCUCCCAUUUUAUAUAGUAUUGGACUUUCUUUAUGUCAGCAAAAAUGCAGAUAAUAGCUGAAGCGGCAAUCCAUGGGGUCUACUGAAUUUCAGGUUGCCUCUGAUACCCCCAAAUGAAUGAGUUCACACUAUUUUGCCUUUGUUGACAAAACCUCCCGUACAUAGAAAUGUUACAACAAACGAAACUUGUAUUCCGAUAAUUGAAAACUCCGCAGUGUUCCGAUUCUUCACGUCUCGAUCAUCUUAACGAUCACUCUUCAUGGGAACUGUUGAUAGAGA